rnacentral:rRNA from 1 species
AUACGUAGGUGACAAGAGUUAUCCGGAUUUACUGGGCGUAAAGGGCGUGUAGGCGGUCUUGCAAGUCAGAAGUGAAAUUCCUGAGCUCAACUCGGGCGCUGCUUCUGAAACUGCAGGACUUGAGUGCUGGAGGGGAUAGCGGAAUUCCUAGUGGAGCGGUAAAAUGCGCAGAUAUUAGGAAGAACACCGGUGGCGCAGGCGUCUAUCAGGACAGUAACUGACGCGGUGGGACGAAAGCGUAGGGAGCAGGCAGGAGAAGAUACCGUGGUGGUCCACGCUGUAAACAAUUAGUACUAGGUGAAGGGGGUUGCGACUCCCUCUGUGCUCCAGUUAACGCAAUGAGUAUCCCAGCUGGGGAGUGCGGCCGCAAGGGUGAAACUCAAAUGAAUUGACGGGG